AGCCAAAGUUGAGUCGGAUGCCUGACCGACUGAGCCACCCAGGUGCCCCUAAGUUGCUUUAGAUGGAGUCCAUCCACUUUGUUAGAAAUGCAUAUGAGGAGGGACCCCAGUAGGGCCGGGCACCCUCAAGGCACUUUGAUGACUGAGAUCCCGUUUCUGAGUUUUUUUUUUUUUUUCUUUAGAGCAGAAAGAAAAAAAAAAAAAUUAACAGUUUCAACAGGAAAAGCCUACUUCCAGGAGGAAUCGGUAUAAAGGCCUGCACAGUUCCAAUAGGACAGCCCAGUUUCAAAAGAAUUAGACUUGAGGCCACUGUUUCAAGAGGGACCGUCUAGUUCUGAAAGUGAGUCAGCCCAAAGGCUAACACAGUCUUAAUGGGAACAGUCCCAAUUCCAAACACGAGUGGAACCGAAGGCCCAAGGGACACUUGCAGAAAGGACAAAGCCUUUAAACCCAUCCUGAAGAAAGCCUGGAGACCUCAGGAAGCUGGGGCUCGAAAUCGAGGAGAAAGCAUAGCUUCAAACUCCAGGAGCAGCAAGAAAGCCGUGGGCUCGGUGGUUUCCGUGGGUAUUGGCAUAUUUGCUCACCAGCCUCAGAAUUGUUGAGGCGGUCUCAGGAUCUGACUUCUGACACCAGAUAAUAUUAACCUCGACUAUAAAACGGCCAGCUAUCUUACCAGCAAGAAAGGAUUUAUCUGAGACUAGAGAAUUCGGGAGAAGCACGCUCCGGCAAAGCCAUGGUAUGCAUUGCGAAUAGAGACCUAGCUGGGAACGACUCUUGCCCGUGUCCGAGUAAGUAACGCGAACUGUAUUUUCUAGGAUCUGUGGCCUUUAUGGUUUCAUGUUAGAACUUACCAAAGCCUAACAUCCACGAAACUUGGAAUGCAGAAGCGAAAUAGGAUUCAGUCAGGUUUUGGAGUCAUCUGUGUGGAAGGAGACAGAAGGAUAGGGCUUUCCGGAUGCUUGUUUCCAGCCUGUUUUCCUCAUUCUUUGCGAUGCCCAUCAGUAUUCCCAACCCGCCACCAACUGCUAGACUUCCAUCUGACCCCGAGCAGUAGGCUUCUCCAGUUGUCUCCACUGUCCGACUUUGAAGAACCAGCAGAGUCGAGAUUUCCUGCGAUCCGUCAUGUGCCCACCCGGAAACAGAUUUCUACCAUCACGGGUUGUGUGCUCUACUCCCCUCUUCCCUAGAUCCGGUUCAUACAAGGUCGAAUUUGUGUAGUAAACACCUGUUGUGUUAA